GGGCAGCUCGGGCUGCGGCAGGUGCAGGAUGGGCUGGGUGAAGUGGCCGAUGGGGUCGAAGACGCUGCCUGGGAGCUGGGGCUCCAGGACGGGCACCUGGGCGGCGAUGAAGGGCGGAGGCGAGGACUUCAUCGUGGUGGCUGCCUGUGGCGGUAUGGAAGGCGGGGGCGGCGGGGGUGGGGGCUGCUGCUGCUGCGGAGGUGGAGGCGGCGGGGGCUGCUGGGGAGGCGGCGGGGGCUGCUGGGGCACGGGGGCCGGGGUCUGCUGCAUCUGCUGAUGGUGGUGGUGAUGGUGCUGCGGACAGACAGGCUGACGUCAGGCAGGCGGGACACGCCUGUGUACCCUCGGGGCCCAUGAGGGCAGGUGGCCAGCUGCUCACCUGCUGGAGGACACCCCUGAGACCACGUACCUUCUUCUGUUCCCUCCCGGGGUGCCCCUUCUUUUUUGACUUCGGAGCCAUCUCUGCAGAGGGAAAGAGAAGGUGGUGAGGUGCUGGGGGAGAGGACUGUGAGCCGGCCUCGGAGGCAGAGCCAGGAGAAAACAGAGGGGACCAUGUCUGAAAAGCCUCCCUGCCCACAAGCUUCACUAAAGGAUGAUGCCCGGGUACGCUGGGAGAUGAGCUACAGAGACCUCCUCGCCCAGUGUCUCCCCCACUUGCUGGGUCAGACGCCACUAUGGUGACUGAAGUGUCUGUAUCCCAGCCCGCUCUGCCUUGGGAACAAUUGUGCCACUCAAAAUGAUCACAUCCAUUUGAUGGAUCAGCCAAGUGAGGCUCAGAGAAAUUAAGGGACCUGCCCUGUGUCACGCAGCUGCAAAGUAACGACAUGGCUGCCUCCAACUGUACUGCCCUCUAAGCUGACUCCUUCCCAUCCUCCCAGGGGAAGCAGAGCUGCACAACUGUGGUGAGAGUGGUGGUGUCGGCAUGGGCCAAGGCCUGGCUGCAGAGUGAGCACUUUAGGGGAGGGACCGAUGGAGAGAGGGAGGGAAGGCAGGCCAGCGUCUCAGGAAUGACCCGGAGGAAACGGAGAAGGUGCUCGCUACCGUGGCCAGCAAAGGUGGCCACCAACCAGCAUCCCCUUCCUCGUGAAAGACCAGCCUCAGACAAGUCCCCGUGAUGGGACACAGCCAACGUGCUGCAGGGAGAAGGCAGUGUGUGCCCUGGUUCCUCAGGGGCCGGCGGCUUGUUGCUGCCAUGGUAUGGCCUUGUCCAGGAUGGGGCUGUCCCUGCAAGGAAUGGGCAACCGCCAACACACACACCCAACCCACAGAUAUAUGCUAAGGAUCUUCUGCCACCUGUCUGUCCCCUGCCAAGAAUCGCUGGUGUGCGAACCCCAGAGAGGGAGAGGAGGCCCAGUCGGCACUCUUGGCCUAGGAAAUGAUGAAGUCAACAACGAGGUAGGGGACGGGACCCACGGUGCCUUUCAAGUUCCUGUCACCAAGAGACACCUCUUGGCUUUGCCUGGCUUCCCCUGAGCUCCUUGCCAGGGUGCCGGCUCUUGCUGGUGUCGGAGGACACAUGCUUUGCCCAAGGCGGGCCACCUCUGCUGGUAGCUGCUUCACGGAGGGCCGUGCUAAGCUUCUGUGAGGUGCGCAGCCACGGGGCACAGCACGCUACCAAAACGGAGGAGAAGGGACCUCAUGCCCUGCAAGAGCUCACCAUUCCAUGCAAGAGACAAGACAGUGACAAAGACCUCAGCUGCUAUGGACACACGUCCUCAUACAAAUGGCCGCAACCGGGGACACCUGGAACACGGGAACCAGAAGCCCAGCCUCAAACCCGGACACUGGAGAUGCCAGGAGAGGGUUCAGGGCUCUUUGGGUCAUGGCAGGAAACCGGGUGAGAGGAACACUCUUGUGGGUGGGACAUACAAAGGGGACAGUUUGGGUGACUUGCGGGAUUAGGGCCAUGGGGCUGGCAGCUGCAGGGUGAAGGAGGGACACUGAACUAGAAAGGUGGGAGGCCCAGGACCAAAGGGGCCCUCCAUGCACUGGGCAGAGCAUGGUGUGCACAGGCCUCUGAGCCGAAGGGAGCAGGAAGGGGCUGGGGGCGGGGGCGUCCCUCCAGGACGGGCACCUCUCGCAGCAGAUCCCACGAACAGACACUGAAACUCGAGGGAGGCUGGAGCAGCCACUCACACAUGGGCAGGCCUUUGGGAGUCUGGGGGACUGGAACCUAGGGUAAGAAAGGGCUCAGGCUCAGUGGGGAAAGACUGACCAGGAGAAGACACGGUGUUGCAGGGAGAGGGCUGGGGUGGCCUGUCAUCUCAUGGCCUCAGGGAAAUCCCCCUUUUUUUUUUCUACUAUAAAGGAGGAACGGUGGUAGCUCUGUGUGCCCUCACUAUCUCCUCGCACGCCAUGAGCAGAGAGGCCCACGUGAGCACUCAUGGGGACAAAAUGCUGUGGGGUCCCAGGGGUUCCAGAGGGUGGGUCUUGGCUGCCUUGGCAAGUGUCCCAGGUCUCUGUGGGGAAGUGCCGGUGGGGAGGGGGACGGGCCUAGAGUGGGAGAACCAGUGGGAGGUACGCGGCAGACCUCCAGGACCAGAGGUCACAAAAGGGGCCGGCGGUGGGGACCGAAGGGUGCUGGAGACUGUUUGGGACAGCUGCGUACAGCUCACGUGGUCCGAGCCUCCUGCUGGAGUUACUGGUAGGAAGACAAGACAGGAAGUGCACAGCUUCACGACACACCAGCCCCGAGACACCCACACAAAACUCUCUAGAAAGGGUUACAUGAAGAUGGCCUCGAGUACUGUGUGAUCUUUAUUCCAUGAAAAUCUUGAACUCAACACAAAUUUCAUCUUUACAUAGGAUGGUAAUUGUACAAAGAAUUAAAACGUUUUUGUAAAAUCUGAUUAAAACACUGAUUCCUCCCCCGCCCCCCCCCCCCCCGCCCCCACUCAAGGGAAGGAGACAGGAUUGAGGGUAAGGGCAGGGCAGAGGCACAGAGCCCCUCAACGCAACGGACGGGGGAGCCUUGGCGCUAGCAGAGGCCCAGGCCACCCGCCCCUCCUACAGCAACUCCUCAGGCCCCGCAGGCUGGCUGGUGUGUCAAGGCCCAGCGGGCAUGUCCCCCUGCUCACACACAGGAGGCUGCCAAUGAGGAGUGAGUGGGCACUGCUCUCUCUGCCCUAUUCCUGGGGCACUGGGCACAGGUAACGGCUCGAGUCUAAAGAUCGAGUUCCCUGACAGAUAAAAGCCCGAUGGGCAAGGAGGCCAGGAUCCCUGGACAGCAAGGGUGCAGAGACCCUGCAGGCGAGCUGGCCUGUGGCUAUAGCUGGUAUGCACGAGUGUGGGAAGGGGUGGGGCGGCAACACAGGCCGACACUGUGGGAAUCCAGGCUGCCAUUUGUUCCAAGACAGCAGAAUCUUCCCAGAAAGACAAUGCCAGCAGCUUCCCAACUGUCCUGUGGGAAUCUCUGGGCAUGAAGCCCCCUGGCUCCAGCCAGGCCGAGCUGCACUGGGAACACAUCAGGCACAGGCCAAAGGGCAACUCAAAAUAGUCUGUUUGGCAAAUGAGUUUGACUGGAAGAAGACUGGCCAGAGGAUCAGAGAGCAGCCUAGGAACUCGCAAGCAUCACUGCAGGGCCCUGGAGAGGCUGGAUCUAGAACCCAAGGCCCGAGGAAGUGUCCCAGGGUUUCCGCACAGGAGGUGGCCAGCAUCCACCAGCUGCUGACGGAACUAUACCUCCUCAAACUUGCUUCCAGCUCUAGAAGGCAGGCUCCAAGGUGCCAGGAGACUGUUAUAAGCCUUGAAGAAGUACACACAAACUACACUUUAAAAAGGAAGAGGGGGGAAAAAAAAAACAAAACAAAAAACCCCAAAAAACCAACCCCCCCCUCCCAAACAACAACAAAGAAAAACAAAAACAAAACAAAACUCCCUGAAACACAGAUGCUGUUCCUUAAGGGACUUUUCAUCAGGCAGUUUUCUGCUGAAAUGCUGGAUUCAUGACCAAAAAAGGGCUGAUAUUUAUUUUUAGAGCAAAAAAUCCUAUUCAGUGCCUCUCACAGGGCUUGGAUGAUGUGGCCACCCUGGCCUGCCCCACCCCCAGAGGCUGUCAUUAUUCUAGGGGACUGAAGACUGAGAGGGUGCUUGCACUGGCAACACCCCUUCAGAGAUGUGCACAGAGCAGACCCCGAGGGCUCUGAUGGUCUCACUAUGGACUGGUCCAGUGUUCUGGGUUUGAGAGCCUUUUCUCGCCCACCAGCCCACUGUCUCACCCCACUUGGGACAGGUCACCUGGCUGCAUGGCCACUCUUCCUCGAGUGCCCCUCACCAGUGGCCUUCCUAAAAGCACCCCUUCCCCCUGUAGCCUGCUUCUAAUUACUUGGGAGGGACAGGGAGGCAGCCCGAGAGGUACUUUCCCCUCUGUGACUUCGGGCAAAGAGGCCAAAAAGUUGGGAAAAUGCCCAACAGGCAAUAAUGGGAACAAUGAAAACAGAAGGAAGACUCCAGGGGCCGGGAGUAGCCUGUGGCUGGUGACAGCCUCUGGCUGGAGCCUCACAAGCCACCAGAAAGAGGGCAUGCUGAGGGACAACCCCGUGAGCUUUUGAGCCCAGCCAGGCUUGCCCCUAAAGCCCUUGUUCCUCACUGGGGAAAGCACUAGAUUGAUUAGAGUGUUCUUCUUUAGGCUGAAUGAGAUCGUCCCUGGGCUAACAUCAUUUUAAGAUCCAGGAGGAAAGCAGUUAGGAUCCAGAAAAAGAGGGAGGGAUGAAGAGAGAAAACAUACUCGUGACGGGGCCUUGCACACGGAGCAGCACCACACGUAUGUGUGUGCGGGGGGAUUGUCAUCACCCUCUGGGAGAUGCCACCCACCCAGAAGACCCCAGACGACCAGGGAGGCUGGGCAGGACAGCCAAGCAGUCUUUACACAGGAGGCCCGGGUGGCCAGCCGAGCAGGCAGCCUUCCCGGAGGCGGGAUUAGGCGUGUGCUGCUGGACAUGACUAAAUCCACCCCAGGGGACAGGCCCAGGGCUCUGAGGAAUUCCAUAACUUGAUGGAGUCCUGUCCCUUUCACAGAAGAAAAUGGACUUAAGCUAUAGCUUGCUGGGAAGGAAUCUGGAACUGAAGACCGUUUUAUUAAGAGUCCGUGUCCAAUGAUUAGGCAGGACCUACAUAGAGGGAGAGAGAAACCAGUGUGAGAGAAAUGGUGUGGAAUGUACCGUUCAAGUCACAAGAACAGAAGAACCACAGA